AGCUUGUAGUUGUAAAAGAUUUGGUGAAACACGUUAAUAUAUAAGGCAGGAAUCUAACUACGUUAACAUUGAGAUAUUUGUUGGAAAAAACAUUUGCAUAUUUAUAACCAGACCGCAAUUUGCAUAAUGGAAUUUAAUUAAUUUCAACUGAUAGACGAUGGUACGAACCAUAUUUGGCAUGUCGGAAAUAUCCACAUACGAAUAAAAUUUACAGACAAAAGUUUCCCGUAUCAGAUAUGAUUUGCUUUCAGGGGCCAAAAACCCGAAUGUUCAAUAUGGAAAUAUGCUGUGUGACCACCUUGUACUACAAUAUUGGUAGAAAGCAAAUUACAUAAAUAUCAAAAAGAAGAAAAAUAUGAUAAAAGUCCAUUUGCAUAAAAACACACAGGAAACGAACCCAUAAAAUUGCCAUAUCAGGAGCAAAAGGAAACAAAUCCAUGUUAAUGCCAGCAAUAUUCCAUUUGAAAGAGUUUUCAAAAUGGCAAACAAAAACAAAUUUUGUCCUAUUAAUGUGCGCAUAAAAACUAUUUUUAUACAUAUUUGCUUUACUUUGUGUGGCGGGACAAAACUCUCUUUUUUCUCUCUUUCAAAAGGCCUCGGGCAUUAUGUGGGCAACGCUUUCGCCAGCGAGUUAAAUAAACGUAAGAAAAAUGCGCGUGGGUUUCCGCAGUGAAAACAAACAAACUGGCAAACAAACGAAGCAAACUGUUUUCCAAUCUAAGCUGUUGACAAAUUGAAAUGUUUUUGCUUUCCCACUCGCAGUCGCCGUCGUCGUCGGAAUCGAAAUCGCAAUCGCAUAUGCAAAUUGAUGAUCAAACACCCACCCAUAACGGGAAAGUAAAUAAUAACACGGGCAAUAAAAAAAAAUAAAUAA